GCCGUCGUCGACCAGUGGAAGGUCCUUCUCGAAAUGUAAACAUAUCCGUUGCUACCAGAGAAAGACGGGAGUUCGAUUCCUCCCGACGGCA